AUACGGAGGAUCCGAGCGUUAUCCGGAUUUAUUGGGUUUAAAGGGUGCGCAGGCGGGAGAUUAAGUCGGCGGUGAAAUUUUGCAGCUCAACUGUAAAAGUGCCUUCGAAACUGGUUUCCUUGAGUGUAGAUGAAGUAGGCGGAAUUUGUGGUGUAGCGGUGAAAUGCAUAGAUAUCACGAGGAACUCCGAUUGCGCAGGCAGCUUACUAAACUACUACUGACGCUCAGGCACGAAGGCGUGGGGAUCAAACAGGAUUAGAUACCCUGGUAGUCCACGCAGUAAACGAUGAUUACUAGCUGUUUGCGAUACAAUGUAAGCGGCUGAGCGAAAGCGUUGAGUAAUCCACCUGGGGAGUACGUUCGCAAGAAUGAAACUCAAAGGAAUUGACGGG
rnacentral:rRNA from 1 species